CCAAUGUCAUGAAUAGAGCUGAUGACACAAAAAUGAUGCACAAUCAGUUUAUGCUGAGGCCC
rnacentral:snoRNA from 1 species